GUCGGGGUAGCUCAGUUGGUUAGAGCAUCACACUCAUAAAGUGAAGGUCGUGGGUUCAAUUCCCACCCUCGGCA
rnacentral:tRNA from 1 species